rnacentral:rRNA from 1 species
UAUCUGACUUUUUGUUAACGUAUUUAGCCACAUAGAAACCAACAGCCAUAUAACUGGUAGCUUUAAGCGGCUCACCUUUAGCAUCAACAGGCCACAACCAACCAGAACGUGAAAAAGCGUCCUGCGUGUAGCGAACUGCGAUGGGCAUACUGUAACCAUAAGGCCACGUAUUUUGCAAGCUAUUUAACUGGCGGCGAUUGCGUACCCG